GUAGUCCAUGCCGUAAACGAUGGGUACUAGACGUCGCGGGCCUUACCCCCGCGGUGUCGUCGCUAACGCAUUAAGUACCCCGCCUGGGAAGUACGGUCGCAAGAUUAAAACUCAAAGAAAUUGACGGGGGCCCGCACAAGCGGUGGAGUAUGUGGUUUAAUUCGACGCAACGCGAAAAACCUUACCUGGGCUUGACAUCCCACGCAUAGCCAUGAAAGUGGUGAAUUCUCGCAAGAGACGUGGUGACAGGUGCUGCAUGGCUGUCGUCAGCUCGUGUCGUGAGAUGUUGGGUUAAGUCCCGCAACGAGCGCAACCCUUGUUCUUAGUUGCCAGCAUUAAGUUGGGCACUCUAAGAAGACCGCUAGCCGACAAGGCAGA
rnacentral:rRNA from 1 species